UUAAGCAUAUCAAUAAGCGGAGGAAAAGAAACCAACAGGGAUUGCCCUAGUAACGGCGAGUGAAGCGGCAACAGCUCAAAUUUGAAAUCUGGCUUUCGGGCCCGAGUUGUAAUUUGUAGAGGAUACUUUUGAUGCGGUGCCUUCCGAGUUCCCUGGAACGGGACGCCAUAGAGGGUGAGAGCCCCGUCUGGUUGGAUGCCAAAUCUCUGUAAAGUUCCUUCGACGAGUCGAGUAGUUUGGGAAUGCUGCUCUAAAUGGGAGGUAUAUGUCUUCUAAAGCUAAAUAUUGGCCAGAGACCGAUAGCGCACAAGUAGAGUGAUCGAAAGAUGAAAAGCACUUUGAAAAGAGAGUUAAAAAGUACGUGAAAUUGUUGAAAGGGAAGCGUUUAUGACCAGACUUGGACUUGGUUAAUCAUCUGGGGUUCUCCCCAGUGCACUUUUCCAGUUCAGGCCAGCAUCAGUUUUCGCCGGGGGAUAAAGGCAGCGGGAAUGUGGCUCUCUUCGGGGAGUGUUAUAGCCCGUUGUGUAAUACCCUGGUGGGGACUGAGGUUCGCGCUUCUGCAAGGAUGCUGGCGUAAUGGUCAUCAACGACCCGUCUUGAAACACGGACCAAGGAGUCGUCUUCGUAUGCGAGUGUUCGGGUGUCAAACCCCUACGCGUAAUGAAAGUGAACGCAGGUGAGAGCUUCGGCGCAUCAUCGACCGAUCCUGAUGUUCUCGGAUGGAUUUGAGUAAGAGCAUACGGGGCCGGACCCGAAAGAAGGUGAACUAUGCCUGUAUAGGGUGAAGCCAGAGGAAACUCUGGUGGAGGCUCGCAGCGGUUCUGACGUGCAAAUCGAUCGUCAAAUAUGGGCAUGGGGGGCGAAAGACUAAUCGAACCUUCUAGUAGCUGGUUUCCGCCGAA
rnacentral:rRNA from 1 species